rnacentral:rRNA from 1 species
UACGUAGGUGGCAAGCGUUGUCCGGAAUCAUUGGGCGUAAAGCGCACGUAGGCGGUUCGUUAUGUCGGAUGUGAAAGCCCUUGGCUUAACCGAGGAAGUGCAUCCGAAACUGGCGAGCUAGAGUACGAAAGAGGAUCGCGGAAUUCCCGGUGUAGAGGUGAAAUUCGUAGAUAUCGGGAGGAACACCGGUGGCGAAGGCGGCGAUCUGGGUCGAUACUGACGCUGAGGUGCGAAAGCGUGGGGAGCAAACAGG